CGAAAAAGUUCAAUGAUUUUCUGCGCACUCUAUGUAUAUUCUGCCAGGAGAAAGCCCUCAGCAGUUUCUGUGAAUUUCUUGCAUCCAAAGAGCUCACCUUGAUUUCAAAGACAGAAGCUAUAGACAGUGAAGUUAGGGAUGAUGAAGCUAGGAAUUUUCUGGUCAAAUCAGAGCCAAAGAUGGAAUGAGUGCUU